CGGGUGAGUAACGCGUAGGAAUAUGCCCAGUAGCGGGGGAUAGCCCGGGGAAACCCGGAUUAAUACCGCAUACGCCCUACGGGGGAAAGCGGGGGAUCUUCGGACCUCGCACUAUUGGAGUAGCCUGCGUUGGAUUAGCUUGUUGGUGGGGUAAAGGCCUACCAAGGCGACGAUCCAUAGCUGGUCUGAGAGGACGAUCAGCCACACUGGGACUGAGACACGGCCCAGACUCC
rnacentral:rRNA from 1 species